rnacentral:rRNA from 1 species
UCCCGUUGAUCCUGCGGGAGAUUGCUGCUAUGGGAGUUCGAUUAAGCCAUGCAAGUUAGGGGGUCUCUUCGGAGGCACAGGCAGAAUGCUCAGUAACACGUCAAUAAUCUGCCCAAAGGUCUGGAAUAGCCACGGGAAACUGUGGUAACGCCGGAUAGACAAUUGAUACUGGAAUGUUCUUUUGUUUAAAGUUUACGCCUUUGGAUGAGUUGGCGGCCGAUUAGGUUGUUGGUAGGGUAAAGGCCUACCAAGCCGAGGAUCGGUAGGGGCCGUGAGAGCGGGAGCCCCGAGAAGGGUACUGAGACACUGACCCUAGCCCUACGGGGUGCAGCAGGCGCGAAACCUUUACAAUGCACGCAAGUGUGAUAAGGGAACUCCCAGUGCUCAUGUAUUGCAUGGGCUUUUUGUUAAGAGUAAAUAUCUUGGCGAAUAAGGGGUGGGUAAGACGGGUGCCAGCCGCCGCGGUAACACCUGCGCCCCAAGUGGCAAUCAUGUUUAUUGGGCCUAAAGCGUUCGUAGCCGGAAUAGUCAGUCUUGGGUGAAAUCGCUGAGCUUAACGAAGCGACGUGCUUGGGAUACUACUGUUCUAGGGACUGGGAGGCGUAAGAGGUAUUCCUGAGGGACCGGUAAAAUGGGAUAAUCUCAGGAGGACCACCUGUGGCGAAGGCGUCUUACGAGAACAGGUCCGACGGUGAGGAACGAAAGCUAGGGGAGCAAACCGGAUUAGAUACCCGAGUAGUCCUAGCUGUAAACGCUGCCAACUAGAUGUUGCAUAGUCUCCAAGGCUGUGCAGUGUCGGAGCGAAGGUGUUAAGUUGGCCGCCUGGGAAGUACGGUCGCAAGGCUGAAACUUAAAGGAAUUGGCGGGGGAGCACCACAAGGGGUGCGGCGUGCGGUUUAAUCUAACUUCACACAGAGAAUCUCACCAGCAGCGACGGCAGGAUGAAGGUCAGUCUGAAGGGCUUACCUGACGAGCCGAGAGGUAGUGCAUGGCCGUCGUCAGCUCGUGCCGUAAGGUGUCCUCUUAAGUGAGGUAACGAGCGAGACCCAUAUCUUUACUUGCCAGCGAAUCCUUUUGGAUGAUUGGGUACAGUAGAGAGACUGCCCUGGAAACAGGGAGGAAGGUGUGGGCUACGGUAGGUCUGUAUGCUCCGAAUCUGCUGGGCUACACGCGCGCAACAAUGGUGAAGACAAUGGGAUGCGACACCGAAAGGUGAAGCCAAACCUCGAAACUUCAUCCAAGUCUAGAUUGUGGAUUGUAACUCAUCCUCAUGACAACGGAAUCCCUAGUAAUCGGGUUUUAUCAGGACCCGGUGAAUAUGUCCCUGCUCCUUGCACACACCGCCCGUCAAACCAAUCGAGUGGGGUCUGGGUGAGGCCAAGCUUUAAGCUUGCUCGAAUCUAGGUCUCGCAAGAUGGGUUAAGUCGUCACAAGGUA